GGGACCCUCACCUGCCUGUUCAGUUGUUGCUGGUUAGGGAAGGAGGAAGAGCCUCUGUGGACUAAGCUGCCUGCAGUAGCCUCUCAUUCUGGCUCUGCCUGCCACUUGCCCUGGCAUCUCUCAGGGAAAAAGGGAAAUCUCAGGUUCAUGAGGAAGGACAGCAUCUCCUUUGCCACUUACUCUGAUGGGUCUUCUAAUCCAUCAGUCUUGCUGUUGGUGUUGGGUUUGCCCGAUAUUCAUGCACAUGUGUGCGUGCGUCCAUGGGGACUCCGUGAGUCUGGGGGAGGUAUAGGCCACCUGGGCUGCCUUCCGUUGUAAGGUGGGGGUUGGGAAACGCUGAGCCUGGGUGGCCUUUUCCUGUUGGGUGGCAGAUGCAGGACCCCCAGCCACUGAUGCCCUGCCACUGUGCUCUUCAUCAGCCCUGGAGUCCCAAAGCAGUUUAGUGUCUUCUUACCUGUUUCAGAGACCUCCUUUGGUAGCGUGUCUCUUGCACCGUUUCCCAGGCCUCCAGUGAACUGAGGGAGAGGAGCGGGGGAAGCGGGUCCUGAACAGUCUCCACUGAAUACCAUGGCCUUUGUUCCAGUACUCUCUGCCUUGGCCCUGCCGCAGAUAAACGUAUGAGGUGGCGGGAAAUGAGACAGUGGGGGAAAAGCAAGGAGAGUUGGCUGAGGAGAUCCACAUGUGACUCUGCUCCUAGCUCUGCUAGGACAACUAAUUCCCUUUUCAAGUCUGGGUCUUGAUGGGGUUCAGGAUAUGCUUCCCCAAAAUGUGAAAGCUUGGCGUUUGAGGAAGCAGCAGGAAGCUUUCUCUGACUCCCUCACCACCUUUCUCCCCUACAGCAGGUCAUGAAACCUGGGAUGUUCUGACCUUUCCCUGAGGUAGAUCGCAAGCCCCUCACUGGAGAGGUACUCUCUUUAUACCUAGAGGAAAGGAGCGCCACUAUCUCUGAAGACACUGGGUGACAGAGAAGAAACUAAACAGACCGGCCUUGCUGACCUCCCCCAGGUUACUGCCAAAGAUCACACUUCUCCGUGACCACCCACUUCAUCAGAGUAGCAAAAACCACACAGGCUUCCCUGCUUGAGCCUUCCUUUCCUUAUGAAGGCUCCUGUCUCAGAAGUCAGUGUGUGCCUCUGGUGCUGGUGGCUUUGCGUCCAUACAUUGUGAAGCUGAUUCCUGAAGAGCAGGGGCUGCGGGCACCUGGACUGGCACUGCCUCCUGGUGCCUGUCUCCUGGUCCCCAUCUCCUGGCUCCCGUCUCCAUCCCUGGCCACCCCGUGCCGCCUCCCAGUGUGGAGCCAGCCUGAUCUGCAGAGGGAUCCUGCUAUGCACUCCCAAGGACGCAGCUGCUCCCUACGAACUUCUGUGAUUGUUCCGCAGGGAUCUGCCACUUCAUGUUGCACAAGUAAGUGUGUGUGUGAAUGUGAUUGUGAGUGUGCAUGAGUGUGGGCAUGAGGUGUAGGUGUAAGUGUGGACACCUGCAUAUGAGAGAGAGCCCACACAUGAGACAAGUUGGAGUGUGAGGUGGGAGCAUGAGUGAGUGUGUGUUUGACAGAGUAGUGCGUGUGUGUCUGUGUGUGUGAGGGAGUGUUGUGCCAAAUCUCCUCAGAGUCUGGGGUGCUUUGCAAGCUGAGCACCUUGGCUCCAAACCUCAGGGGACAGGACAGCUGCCUGUCCACUGUGAUUCCCUCUGCUCCUCUCUGAAACACUCUCCCCACAACGAAGGCGCCAGAGUCCUGCCCCGUCUGUGGGGUCAGGCUUGGGCCUGGGCUCCCAGCACCUCUGUCUGGACCACUAGUUCCUGGGGCUCGGAGCCACUGUGUCAGAAGCUUGACGGCUCUUUGGAGAGGCCCGAGACUGCCAGGAGAGGGCUGGGGGGCCCUCCAUCCCCACCCAUGUGCUGGGCAUGAGAGUGGGCACAUCCUGGACCUCCAGGCUAGCUGUGCUGUGGUCUGAACCUCACAGAGUGACCUCCAUCGCCCAGUGUCAUGUCUCACUGAGCAGAAGAAUCACCCAGCUGAGUCCCCACUCAACUCUGAACCCCUGGACAGUGAGGUAUAUUUUAAGCCGCUACAUCUUGGAUGAUUUGUAAAACAGCAGUAGAUAAGCAGAACAAUCAAUUCCUUUAAUAUUUCCAAAAUGGGGUCAGGCGUGGUGGCUCUCAUGCCUGUAAUCCCAGCACUUUGGGAAGCCGAGGCGGGUGGGUCACCUGAGGUUGAGAGCUCCAGACCAGCUUGACCAACAUGGCGAAAACUGUUUCUAUUAAAAAUACAAAAUUAGUCGGGCAUGGUGGUGCAUGCCUGUAAUUUCAGCUACUCGGGAGGCUGAGGCAGGAGAAUUGCUUGAACCCUGGAGGUAGAGGUUGCAGUGAGUCAAGAUCAAACCAUUGCACUCCAGCCUGGGCAACAAGAGCAAAACGCCACAAAAAAAAAAAAAAAAAAAAAAAAAAAAAAUCUCAAAUGGUAAUGUGUUAUGUUUGGUAAAAGGUUUCUUUCAGGCUGCUUCAAAUUAGAAAGAACCAUGUCAGCAAACUGACAAUAAAAAAAAAAAAGCAGCAGCCCGAAUCCCAGUGAGACACAGGCUAGCUCAUUCAUUUAGAUUCAGUUCUAAUGAUGAUGACUUAUUUUCCCCCUGUUAGCAGCGUCACUGAUAACUAAAGUUAGCCUUGGCUCAAAAAUCAGUGUAUUAUUUUAGAGCCCAAAUCGGGCAGGGAGUGAGCUGAUGACUGACAGCAAGGAUUUGGGGCCUGUGGGCUCCAGGCCUCUCUCUCCUCUGCUGCUGCCUCCCAGGUGGCAGUGUGGAGCUUGCGGCUGGUAGCCCUGAGGACGAACAGGAACCCCCAGCAGGCUUUCCACCUUCUUGGCAACGCUGCCUUCCUUGAUGUGGUGAGGCACACAUGUCAGCCAGGACUUGGUGGUGUGGGCUGACUUGUUCCUGUUCCCCCAAACUCCUAUGCCGAAGUUGUCACCCCCAGGAACUCAAAAAGUGACCUUAUUGGGACCUAGGGUCCUCACAGAGAUAGUCAAGGUAAAGGAGCCCUAAUCCAACCUCUGGAGUCUUAUAAGAGGAGAUGAGGACACACGCAGGGAGGUGAUCUGCAGCCGCAGGGAGGUGAUCUGCAUCCACAGGGAGAGUCCGGGGACGGAGCCUUCCCUCCCGGCCCUCAUGGGGCACCUUGAUUUUGGAUUCCGCGCCUCUAGAGCUGUGAGACACUGAAGCUCGGGUGUUUAAUCCACCUGGCUUGUGGCACUUUGUUCCGGCAGCCCGAGCUGACCAGGUCACUUGCU
ensembl:lncRNA